CAAUAGCGUAUAUUUAAGUUGUUGCAGUUAAAAAGCUCGUAGUCGGAUUUUGGCUGAGAAAGAUCGGUCCGCCGUUAGGUGUGCACUGAUUGGUCUCAGCUUCCUGGUGAGGAGGUGUGCUUCACGGCCACUUAGUCACCGUGGUUACUUUGAAAAAAUUAGAGUGUUCAAAGCGGGCUUACGCUUGAAUAUAUUAGCAUGGAAUAACACCAUAGGACUCCUGUCCUAUUUCGUUGGUCUCGGGACGGGAGUAAUGAUUAAGAGGAACAGUUGGGGGCAUUCGUAUUUCAUUGUCAGAGGUGAAAUUCUUGGAUUUAUGAAAGACGAACUUCUGCGAAAGCAUUUGCCAAGGAUGUUUUCAUUGA
rnacentral:rRNA from 1 species